rnacentral:tRNA from 1 species
GUUUCCAUAGUGUAGUGGUUGUCAAGUUCGGAAGGAUAACACGUGAAAGGUCCCCAGUUCGAAACUAGGUGGAAACA